rnacentral:tRNA from 1 species
GGAGCUAUGCCUGAACUAAAGGGCCACUUUGAUAGAGUGAACCAUGGGGGUUAAAAUCCCCCUAACUCCU